AGCGAACGCUGGCGGCAGGCCUAAUACAUGCAAGUCGAGCGCACCUUCGGGUGAGCGGCGGACGGGUGAGUAACGCGUGGGAACGUGCCCUUUGGUUCGGAACAACACAGGGAAACUUGUGCUAAUACCGAAUGUGCCCUUCGGGGGAAAGAUUUAUCGCCAUUGGAGCGGCCCGCGUUGGAUUAGGUAGUUGGUGGGGUAAAGGCCCACCAAGCCGACGAUCCAUAGCUGGUCUGAGAGGAUGAUCAGCCACACUGGGACUGAGACACGGCCCAGACUCCUACGGGAGGCAGCAGUAGGGAAUCUUGCGCAAUGGGCGAAAGCCUGACGCAGCCAUGCCGCGUGAAUGAUGAAGGUCUUAGGAUUGUAAAAUUCUUUCACCGGGGAAGAUAAUGACGGUACCCGGAGAAGAAGCCCCGGCUAACUUCGUGCCAGCAGCCGCGGUAAUACGAAGGGGGCUAGCGUUGCUCGGAAUUACUGGGCGUAAAGGGCGCGUAGGCGGAUAGUUUAGUCAGAGGUGAAAGCCCAGGGCUCAACCUUGGAACUGCCUUUGAUACUGGCUAUCUUGAGUUCGGGAGAGGUGAGUGGAAUGCCGAGUGUAGAGGUGAAAUUCGUAGAUAUUCGGCGGAACACCAGUGGCGAAGGCGACUCACUGGCCCGAUACUGACGCUGAGGCGCGAAAGCGUGG
rnacentral:rRNA from 1 species